GGUUAGUAACUUAAUUGGCAAAGGAUUUUCUUGUCGAGAAAAUAGAUAUCGGAUCGUAGACGAUUUAACCC
rnacentral:tRNA from 1 species